UCAACAAAUUCUUAGCUGUAUAAGCUUGAGCAAAUUCUUUAAGCUCUCUGAGGUUUUGUUUUUGUUUUCCCAUAGAAACCAUCCCUUCAGAAGACUGCUGUGAGGAUUACAUGAGAUAUGUAUGCAAACACCUGGCAUAUAGAAAGUGCCCAACUGCUAUGAGAUGUUCAGAAGUAUUACUCCCUGACUUCGUUCAGGUGUCUGCUCAAAUCACUUCAGAGUCAAGGAGACCAUGCUAUCCAAC
rnacentral:lncRNA from 1 species